GUGGUUUUAUAAAAGAGAGGAAGGUCACACUGUUGAGAGGAUCCUCUGCUUCGGCCAUUCAACUUUCCCUCAAGCUUUUCAACUUGUGAACAGGGGAGCGUUUGCAGUAAUAUUUUCUGGUUUGGUGGCUGUCAGAGGUUAAGAACGCCCUUGCUGAUGCAGUUCAGUCUGCUCCUCAUGAAGCUGAUCUGCUGAGGGAGCAGUUUCAAGUAUGAAACCGAUGCCAUCCAGAGGAUUGAGGAGCUGGAGGAAGCUAAGAAGAAGCUGGCUCAGUGUCAAAUUGGUGAGAUGGAAAGAACAUUCAUGAACUAGAGAAAAAUGGUAAGCAGUUGGAGCAGGAGAAAGCUGAAAUUCGAGCAGUUUUGGAAGAGGCUGAGGUUUAUUGAAUGUGUAGAUGUACCAGGUCUAGUUUCUCCAGUUAUACACUAGAACAGUGGUCACCAACCUUUUUAAACACAAAAUCCUUGAUCUCAGCCUUUAUGAAAGACGAGAUCUACCUACUGAAGAACUUAUUGAAAAAGAUCCCAGAUUGUCUUUCCAAUUUGUGACCUUUUAUUUAUCAUUUUAAUUAGUGAUGCACUGAUCAUGAUGCUUCAUUCCCAUUUUUUUAAAAACUAGCAAUUUUACCUAAUGUUAAUAUGCUCUAUACCAAGCAAACGUGUCAAAUGUGCCAAAUUUGAAUCAUGAUCCCAACACAUUUUUGAUUUGAUUUAGUGUUUAUAAUUUCAAGAUUUAAGACGAGAACAUACAGGUCUGACUUAAAACACAUGAAUGGAAAUUCACUCUCUCUAUGUGAUGUAUUUUAUUUAUCACUGUCACAGAAGAUCCAGAAAAUAACUGCAAAAUAAAUACAAUACAGCACAAAGACUAGAGGAAUGUAAUGUAUUUCUACUUAUUUUUAUAUUACAUUCUGGAGCUUCUGGGACAAUGAUAAUGAUAUAGAACGACCAGUCUUUCGCAAUCAAUGGGUUGGCGACCUCUGCACUAGAACUUCUCGAAAAUAAUAAACAAAUCAAACUUAUUAGUGAAGUGAUUACACGAUGAAGAUUUGAAGCAGUCAUUUUUCUGAGACGCUUUUUUAGUUUGACUCUGUGCUUCUUGA